rnacentral:misc_RNA from 1 species
GAAAUGCGAUAAGUAGUGUGAAUUGCAGAAUUCAGUGAAUCAUCGAAUCUUUGAACGCACAUUGCGCCCCUCGGUAUUCCGUGGGGCAUGCCUGUUCGAGCGUCAUUUACCCCUCAAGCACUGCUUGGUGUUGGGCGUCUGUCCCGCUUCGCGCGCGGACUCGCCCCAAAGGUAUUGGCAGCGGUCGUGCCAGCUUCUCGCGCAGCACAUUGCGCUUCUCGAGGCGGUCGAUCGGCGUCCACGAAGCUCACCUCCACCGUUUGACCUCGGAUCAGGUAGGGAUACCCGCUGAACUUAA